rnacentral:tRNA from 2 species
AAGGCCUUAGCUUAAUUAAAGUGUUUGAGUUGCAUUCAUUAGAUAUAAGAUAGAGUCUUGUAGGUCUUA